UGACAUAAUAGGUCUAUGUUACGGCCAUAGAGUGGGUGGCUCAGUUCACCAUAUGUUUU
rnacentral:tRNA from 1 species